CACGUAGGGCGCAAGCGUUGUCCGGAAUUAUUGGGCGUAAAGAGCUCGUAGGCGGUGUGUCGCGUCGGCCGUGAAAACCUGGGGCUCAACUCUGGGCGUGCGGUCGAUACGGGCAUCACUGGAGUUCGGCAGGGGAGACUGGAAUUCCUGGUGUAGCGGUGAAAUGCGCAGAUAUCAGGAGGAACACCGGUGGCGAAGGCGGGUCUCUGGGCCGAUACUGACGCUGAGGAGCGAAAGCAUGGGUAGCGAACAGG
rnacentral:rRNA from 1 species